GGGUAAACUUGGUAGGAAAUGGAAAUCUAUUAAAUUGCAUGUUAAGACUGUUAAUACUGUUAUGGAUAUAGGGUAAAUGGGCCUAGAUGACAGAAUCGGCUAAGUAGGGCCAUUAGGGGUUUUUGGCCUAAUAACUCGAUUUCACUAAAAAUGGGCCAGAAUCACUGUUUGCACCCAUGAAUUAUUUGUAACCGUUAAUGAACAUAGAAAACCUAAUUUUUGGUAAAAUUACAAGAUUACCCUUAUA
rnacentral:lncRNA from 1 species